rnacentral:lncRNA from 1 species
AAAAACUAUUCUGGCAGUGUGCUUUCAAGAAGGUGCCAAAUAGGAAGAAGUGCAGCGUGAUAGAGUGAGUCAACUAGAAGAGAUAUGAUGUUGUGUUCCUGAGUCACACGUGAAAAACACAGUCUUCUGAGACUUUCAUCUCCUCUUAUGAAGGGCUGCACAUUCUCUUGACCUGAAUUCCUGUUUAGUUCAGGGACUGCACACAGUCAAAACAUUGCUGCAGCAAAUCCUCAGUGCAUAUGCUCUUACUCUGCAUCUGUUUUGUCUUGGCCAAGGGGCAGCUCUCUACAGCUCCUUGCAGCAUCGGCAUUGCCAGGGGUUGUUUAACCUCCUGCUGCUGAAUGUCUCAGCCACAGCAUUUCAUUGCCUCUGCCCCCAAAAUGCUAAAAGAUAAGGACCUGUCCUAUUUCAGGUAUCAGCAUGGGAACAAGAAACACUUAUGGGUAUUUAAUGACUGAUCCGUGAAUAUUCUUAUUCUCUCCAUCAUUCUUCUGUAAAGCACAUUUGCACAGCCUAUCGUACUGCUUAAAAGGACGCCUCCGCCUGCUUAGGGAUAAUUUAUGUGCAAUAAACAGGACAUUUAUAUGGCAUUUAAAUACUAACAUAAACAGUGUAAUGACAUGUCAAUAAGGACUCAGUUUUGUAACUAUUCUAGAAUGCUGAUAAAUUGGAGAUGGAGCUUUAAAAGGGACAGGAACUGAUGGUGCAUAGUCAAAUGUGCUGGGGUGUAAGGAGAUGAGUGAAAGAGUACAAGUGCUUACAGGAGAGGAGAUAUUAACCUUUGGGUAGGACCCAAGCUAGUGAGAAAUAAAAUGCUGCUUUAAAAUGGAGUAUCUGGAGUCCAAGAGACAGUUUUAUGAUACAUGAAGGAUGAGAAAAAAGAAAUGAGGAAGAUAACAACGGAAUAAGUAGAAGUCAAAAAAAAGGCUGCUUGCAAGAGAAGAAAAUGUUUACAUCUCUUAGACAUUUUACCCUGUGGGUUAUCUUGACCUAUGACAGUCUGGCAGACAACGCCACGGAAGGAGGCAGAGCUGUGGUACUGCACGUUCAGAAGAGGCGAAACUUUCUGAAGAACACAGCAUCCUGCACAGUACCAU